UGGCAAGGAAACAUAUGUGGGGUGAGGUUUAUGAGCCUCUAGUCGAUGAUAAAUGGCCACACAACCCCCAUUUUUUAUGAAAAUAGCCAUGAGCGACCAUUUUCAAUAAUACUAGAGGCUAACACCUACGGAUUUUUGACCAAGAAAUGGUCUCCACCAGAAAUCCAAGAAUGUGAUCUAUGGCAAGGAAACAUAUGUGGGGUGAGGUGUAUGAGCCUCUGGUCGAUGAUCAAUGGCCACACAACCCCCAUUUUUGUCGAAAAUAGCCAUGAACGACCAUUUUCAAUAAUACCGAAGGCUAACACCUACGGAUUUUUGACCAAGAAAUGGUCUCCACCAGAAAUCCAAGAAUGUGAUCUACGGCAAGGAAACAUAUGUGGGGUGAGGUGUAUGAGCCUCUGGUCGACGAUCAAUGGCCACACAACCCUAUUUUUGUCGAAAAUAGCCAUGAACGACCAUUUUCAAUGACACUGAAGGCUAACACCUACGGAUUUUUGACCAAGAAAUGGUCUCCACCAUAAAUCCAAGAAUGUGAUCUAUGGCAAGGAAACAUAUGUGUAGUGAGGUGUAUGAGCCUCUGGUCGAAGAUCAAUGGCCACACAACCCCCAUUUUUGUCGAAAAUAGCCAUGAAUGACCAUUUUCAAAAAUACCAAAGGCUAACACAUUCGGAUUUUUGCCCAAGAAAUGGUCUCCACCAGAAAUCCAAGAAUGUGAUCUAUGGCAAGGAAACAUAUGUGGGGUGAGGUGUACGAGCCUCUGGUCGAUGAUCAAUGGCCACACAACCCCCAUUUUGCCGAAAAUAGCCAUGAACGACCAUUUUCAAUAAUACCGAAGGCUAACACGUACAGUUUUUGACCAAGAAAUGGUCUCCACCAGAAAUCCAAGAAUGUGAUCUAUGGCAAGGAAACAUAUGUGGGGUGAGGUUUAUGAGCCUCUAGUCGAUGAUAAAUGGCCACACAACCCCCAUUUUUAUGAAAAUAGCCAUGAGCGACCAUUUUCAAUAAUACUAGAGGCUAACACCUACGGAUUUUUGACCAAGAAAUGGUCUCCACCAGAAAUCCAAGAAUGUGAUCUAUGGCAAGGAAACAUAUGUGGGUGAGGUGUAUGAGCCUCUGGUCGAUGAUCAAUGGCCACACAACCCCCAUUUUUGUCGAAAAUAGCCAUGAACGACCAUUUUCAAUAAUACCGAAGGCUAACACCUACGGAUUUUUGACCAAGAAAUGGUCUCCACCAGAAAUCCAAGAAUGUGAUCUACGGCAAGGAAACAUAUGUGGGGUGAGGUGUAUGAGCCUCUGGUCGACGAUCAAUGGCCACACAACCCUCAUUUUUGUCGAAAAUAGCCAUGAACGACCAUUUUCAAUGACACUGAAGGCUAACACCUACGGAUUUUUGACCAAGAAAUGGUCUCCACCAUAAAUCCAAGAAUGUGAUCUAUGGCAAGGAAACAUAUGUGGGGUGAGGUGUACGAGCCUUUGGUCGAUGAUCAAUGGCCACACAACCCCCAUUUUUGUCGAAAAUAGCCAUGAAUGACCAUUUUCAAUAAUACCGAAGGCUAACAC
rnacentral:lncRNA from 1 species